AUGGAUGCAGCAGCUUAUUCUUACACUAGGAAUGGGUUUGAAGAAGCAAUGGAAGAAAUUAGAAAGGAAAGUGAGGAUGCUUGGGUCUGGCUUAAGAAACUUCCUGUAGAAACAUGGGCUAGAUAUGCUAUGGACACCAACUGUAAAACUGAUCUAGUAGUGAACAACAUUAGUGAGGUGUUCAACAGGAUGAUUUUGGAUAUUAGGGGCAAACCCAUUAAAACAAUGGUUGAAGGGGCUAGGUCCAAAUUGAUGGUGAAGUUCAAUGAAAAAAGAAGUGGGGGGCAGAGUGCUAGAUGGACAAUAACCCCAACAUAUACAGAAAUGCUAGAGGAGUCCAAAGAAUGGGCUAGGAAUUGCAAGGCUUUGAUGGCUGGGCCAGAUCUAUAUCAAGUAAAUAGUGGUGAGAAAUCAUAUGCAGUUGACUUGAAGAAGUGGACAUGUGGCUGCAGAAAAUGGGACAUGAGAGGUGUACCAUGUAACCAUGCUGUCUCUGCCAUCUACAAAUCAAAACAGCAGCCUGAAGAUUUUGUACACCAGUUCUUCAAGAAGCCUAUGUACUUAGAAACUUACAAGCCAAUGAUUUACCCUGUUCCUGGACCUGACCUAUGGAGAAGAACAGAUUCA
rnacentral:rRNA from 1 species